GAACACAGUUCAUUUUAUUUGGUCCAUUUUUUUUCCAGUUGUGUGUUCUUGGCUUGGUUCCUUUUUUUAUGGGUCACAAAAUGAAAACAAAUGACUAUUCUGUACCAAGAAAUGCUAUCAGCUUAAUUAAUUGCUCUGUUUUGCUUUCAAACAAUAUUUUUGAUUGUACUGAUUUCACAACUUUGCUCUAGGUCUCUCCCCUUGCCGAGAUAGGCACACUGUGAGAGCAAUGAACAGACAAACUGUUCAAAUGAUGUAUGCACAGGCAUGAUAAGAAUAUGGAGGUUGCAUUCCAGACUGUGUGACAAGAAUACAUAUAUGCUUGUUAACAACUAAGGCAAAACCAGUCAUGAAGAUUAUACAAGACAUCUUUUGCCUCAUUCUGAAGUUUCGUACCCAGUUAGUGUCAUAUCCAUGGCAACGUGACCCGGAAAGUGGCUCCCUCUACCACCCUGCACAAAGUCACAUGGUGCACAGUUACGAACAGUUCAAGGAGUUCUCUACUUUCCUCUUCAAAGUUGUAAACAAGCUGGCAUUGCGUGGGUACCAACAACAUCUACAGGAGCUGCUUUUAAGGUUAAACUUCAACAACUACUAUAAAGGAGAUGGACAGUCUUCACUACCCAGAACAUGAUUCAGUUGUCUUUAUUUAUUUAUUUAUUCAAAAUAAAACAAUUCAAAUUAGGUUGGCCAUUCAAAAACAUUAUUCAGCAGGAACCAAUUCUGACAAAACGUAGAUGCAAAAACUGCCUUCAAGAUUGGACGCUCAGAAGAAUGCAGCUUUUUUCUUUUUUUGUAUAAUUGAAUUGAAACAACAUGAUAUAUUAAAAUUAAAUAAAGUCUGGAAUGACAAGACGCAUAUUCAGUAGGAACCAGUAUUAAUAUACCUAUUGUAAAGUAGGGAGAAAUAGAAAUUGAUAACCUAAAGGGAUAAUAACGCUUCAUUUUGGCAAAAAAAAUGAAUUUUCCCAUACUUACCAGUGGUUAAUGAAUCCAUUUUUACAUUCAAAGUUAG